rnacentral:rRNA from 1 species
GACGAACGCUGGCGGCGUGCUUAACACAUGCAAGUCGAACGGAAAGGCUCCAGCUUGCUGGGGUACUCGAGUGGCGAACGGGUGAGUAACACGUGGGUAAUCUGCCCUGCACUCUGGGAUAAGCCUGGGAAACUGGGUCUAAUACUGGAUAUGACCUUUCUCCUUAUGGUGUUUGUUGGAAAGUUUUUCGGUGUAGGAUGAGCCCGCGGCCUAUCAGCUUGUUGGUGGGGUGAUGGCCUACCAAGGCUACGACGGGUAGCCGGCCUGAGAGGGUGACCGGCCACAUUGGGACUGAGAUACGGCCCAGACUCCUACGGGAGGCAGCAGUGGGGAAUAUUGCACAAUGGGCGGAAGCCUGAUGCAGCGACGCCGCGUGAGGGAUGACGGCCUUCGGGUUGUAAACCUCUUUCAGCAGGGACGAAGCGUAAGUGACGGUACCUGGAGAAGAAGCACCGGCCAACUAUGUG